ACACGGCGGAUCCGAGCGUUAUCCGGAUUUAUUGGGUUUAAAGGGUGCGCAGGCGGCCAUUUCAGUCAGCGGUUAAAUCGUGGGGCUCAACCCCAUUCUGCCGUUGAUACUGGGUGGCUUGCUUGCGGUCGAGGCUGGCGGAAUUCGUUGUGUAGCGGUGAAAUGCAUAGAUAUGACGAAGAACACCGAUUGUGUAGCCAGCUGACCAGACCGCAAAUGACGCUCAUGCACGAAAGUGCGGGGAUCGAACAGGAUUAGAUACCCUGGUAGUCCGCACAGUAAACGAUGAAUACUUGUUUUCGGCGAUAUAAUGUCGGAUGCAAAGCGAAAGCGAUAAGUAUUCCACCUGGGGAGUACGCCGGCAACGGUGAAACUCAAAUGAAUUGGCGGGG
rnacentral:rRNA from 1 species